rnacentral:rRNA from 1 species
GAGUUUGAUCCUGGCUCAGAUUGAACGCUGGCGGCAUGCCUUACACAUGCAAGUCGAACGGCAGCAUGAUCUAGCUUGCUAGAUUGAUGGCGAGUGGCGAACGGGUGAGUAAUACAUCGGAACGUGCCCUGUAGUGGGGGAUAACUAGUCGAAAGAUUAGCUAAUACCGCAUACGACCUGAGGGUGAAAGUGGGGGACCGCAAGGCCUCAUGCUAUAGGAGCGGCCGAUGUCUGAUUAGCUAGUUGGUGGGGUAAAGGCCCGACCAAGGCGACGAUCAGUAGCUGGUCUGAGAGGACGAUCAGCCACACUGGGACUGAGACACGGCCCAGACUCCUACGGGAGGCAGCAGUGGGGAAUUUUGGACAAUGGGCGAAAGCCUGAUCCAGCAAUGCCGCGUGUGUG